UCUUAUCGAGAGAGGCGGAGGGAAAGGCCCGAUGAAGCCCAGCAACCGAUUCACCCGUGAUGCGGAAGUUUGAUGCCGCUGAAGUCAUGGGACCGAAUGUCAUGGUGCUAAUUCCUUCAAAACCGAU
rnacentral:ncRNA from 1 species